rnacentral:rRNA from 1 species
UACGUAGGGGGCAAGCGUUAUCCGGAUUUACUGGGUGUAAAGGGAGCGUAGGCGGUGAUGCAAGUCAGAAGUGAAAGCCCGCAGCUCAACUGCGGGACUGCUUUUGAAACUGUAUGACUAGAUUGCAGGAGAGGUAAGUGGAAUUCCUAGUGUAGCGGUGAAAUGCGUAGAUAUUAGGAGGAACACCAGUGGCGGAGGCGGCUUACUGGACUGUAAAUGACGCUGAGGCUCGAAAGCGUGGGGAGCAAACAGG